UCCUAGAGCCGGGCGCUGGACGGCUGUUGCCGGCGAGGUCGACGUCGAGGUGCUGAAGGUCCCGCUGGCCCUGGAGGGUAGAACACUUAGCAGUUUGCAGAUGGCCAGGCCCCAGAAGGCUGUGCUAGCCCUUCCUUGGAGAGAAGGGUUGCAGACAGCUGCCGCCGGGCCCAUCCUCUUGCCCAGCCUGCAGGGCAGCUACUUCGAUCAUCCCCUGCACCAGGGACUCGUGAGCCCCACCCGGCGUCUCUGCAGCCCCACCUCUGCUCUAGCUCCCAAGUCCUCAAAGAAGCCCAAGAUACAGGCCAGUGGGGACAUGUUCCCCAGUGACUGGAGCCCGCCACCUGUGGAGUUCUUGAACUUGAAGGCACUGCAGGCUGACAGGGCAGCCCCAGUCCAGAGGCAGGUGGAUACAGUGGGGCCUUGGAGCCUAAGGAGACUGGCCCACCAGCUCCCCGAGGGGUUACAGCAGGAGCCCCAGGACUCAGACUCCACGGAGCACCUGGCCUCACUUGAAGAGCUGUUCUGGAACAUGGCAGGCACCAGCCCGAAGGCUGCAGCUCCGGAGGUGGACACCCGCACCUCGUUCACCUCAGGGGGCUCAGAGUGCUAUGUCAACAGCUUGGAUUACUUACUGCAAGAGAAGAGGGAGCAGGCCCUGGAGCAGGAGCGAGAGAAGCUGCUUCUGCAGGACUGUCCUCACCUCAAUUCCUCGGAUCCUGAUGAAGAUGAAGUGCCCCUGGCGCUGGAGCACAGGAAGCUGGCGGAGCGGUUCUCCACAUCACUGCAGGGCAUCCCAGCAGGACACCCUGGCGAGACUGUGUUUGUACCCAUGCAUCACCCCCUGCCUCACAUGCUGGACCAUUCACGCCUGAAGCCUCGAAGUCACCUGGAAGAGCUGUUCCUCAGCUCCCCGCCGGCCCAGCAGCUCUCAUUCCUGCGCAGCGGCCUCCUGAGUGGCCUCUACCUGCACGUGGGUGAUAGACCUGAGGCCCUGCUCCGGUGGCUGUUCCAGCUGCUGACAUGGCCUCCAGAAACUUCUUUGGGAGCCUUUGGUCUCCUGUGGGACCUCAGUGUGGAUGGGCUCAUCCGUCAAUCUGAUGAGGACACGUACUUGUGGUGCCCCUCGCUGCAAGAGGUCACGGCCGCAUUCCACAGCCUGGGAGCCCGAAGCCCAGCACUGCACCCCCUGGGGCCCUUCCAGCACAGUGGGAGCAAGGCCAACCUGAGCCAGUGUGAGCAGCAGGACACCCCCGGGGAGACGGCCCUGGACAUCAGUCUGAGCCACAUCUGUAAGUUCCUGAUGCUGUGUGCCCUGGCCCAACCAGGGGCCUACCCCGACGGGAGCCUUUUGGGCCUGAUUGAGCUGAUAUGUCAAGCCGGCCUGGAUGUGGGACUCCGCCUACUGCCCAAGACUGACCUCCAGCAGCUCCUGCUCCUGCUCCUGGAGAACAUCCAGGAGUGGCCUGGGAAGCUCCGGCCGCUGUGCUGUGCCCUGAGUCAGGUGUCCGAUCACCACCACAACCUGCUGGCCCUUGUGCAGCUCUUCCCUGACGUGACCUCCCGGAGCAGGCAGCUUCGAAGCCAGCUCAGCCUUGUGGUCAUUGCCCGGAUGCUGGACCAGCAAGAGACACUCCCUCUCUGGCAAGAGAAGGCCCAGCUGUCCUCACUUAUCCAGCUCCUGGGCCUUAUGAGGCCGUCAUCCCUGGGGCAGUACCUGCGUGCUGAGAUCUUGCCACCUGGCCAGGACCAACAGCCAAAGGCCAGUGCCCAGCUGGAUCACAAGGUCUGCUACUUGUGCCACAGCCUCCUGACCCUGGCGGGGGUGGUGGUCAGCUGCCAGGACAUCACUCCAGACCGAUGGGGAGAGCUGCAGCUGCUGUGCAUGCAGUUGGACCGUCACAUCAGCACCCAUAUCCGGGAGAGCCCCCAGGCAAUGUACUGGACCAGACUCAAGGACUUGGCCACCCAGACCUACAUCCGCUGGCAGGAGCUGCUGGCCCACUGCCAGCCCCAGACCCCGUACUUCAGCACCUGGAAGGACAGCUGAUGGAGCAGUGCAGGGGUGGCUCAGCACUCCAGGCUCUGGCUGAAGUGGACAUGGCCCAGGAAAUGGGAGGAGUGAAGAAUGGAAGCCAGAGGAGGGCCAGUUGGCUGGAGCAUCAGCUGCCUCCCCUGCUGCCCCCAAGCCCUGCCACAGGGCAGGGGUCCUGCCUCUCACUGACCAGCCCGCCUCCCAGCUCUCCUCUCCCCAAGGCCUUUGUCUCUGAAGUGCUGGUUUCCCUGGUCCUUCAGGGGCCCCAUGGCCUCCCUCCUCUCCCUCCCACCUCCCUGUGUGUGUCACGUUGUGAGGGUUCUUUAUGCACACUAAAGUCGCAUUUCA